AUUGAACGCUGGCGGCAGGCCUAACACAUGCAAGUCGAACGAGUGGCGGACGGGUGAGACAUGUCUGGGAACCUGCUUGAUGGAGGGGGAUAACUACUGGAAACGGUAGCUAAAACCGCAUACCAUCCGAUGAGCACAGAUGGGAGUAGCUAGUUGGUGGGGUAACGGCUCACCAAGGCGACGAUACCUAGCUGUUCUGAGAGGUUGACCGGCCAAACUGGAACGGAGACACGGUCCAGACUCCUACGGGAGGCAGCAGUGGGGAAUAUUGCGCAAUGUGCGCAAGCCUGAUGCAGCCACGCCGCGUGUAUGAAGAAGGCCUUCGGGUCGUAAAGUACUUUCAGCGGGGAGGCGGUACCCGCAGAAAAAGCCCCGGCUAACUCCGUGCCAGCCGCCGCGGUAAUUC
rnacentral:rRNA from 1 species